CACUCUAACUGGGAAAACUCGGAUAAUUUCAGUUCAAUGCUGUGAUUGGUGCUUUAAUAAGGAAGGGCAUGCACAGUGUGCUGUAGGUGCAUAUGAGAAAGCCUUAACCUUAGCUGGAAUGUGCUAUUUUUUCUAGAACUAGCUUCCUGCCUUGUGAAAGAGAGCACAGGUUUUGGGGUCCAUAUAUUGUCUAGAAGCUGGGAUAACACUGAGGGAUGAAUGGUGUACCCUAGGAGAAGAGGGCCUGCCCCAGCGGAUGGCUUCAUGUUAGAGAAGUGACUCAAGGGUAGGGCACCAUGAUUACAACUGAGGGGCUGCAGUGCUAAUACGCAAGUGAUUUAGCAUCUCUGUGAUGUUCCUGUGGAGAUAGAAUCCUCAGAUAGGUAUCCUUGUGGAUAUGGUGGGCUAUAUAUCAAUUUCUCCUCUUCACCUUCCCUGCCACCACGCCAGUCACUGAAAGACAAGAGAAAGUGAAUCUGGAGCAAUGAAGUGGUAGGAGUAGAAACUCUAAGAAAGAGUAGAGAUGCUAUUUCAAUCAACUAAGUUUCGCUUAAGCUAUGAGAUGUUUGUAAUCAGUUUUACCUGUCCCUGAUGUAGGGAAAUGACCUAGAUACAAGGGAGAAGAAUUUUGCAGAAAAUAGUAGUGAAAGGAGCUCCUGCCACAGAAGCAGAGGAACAAGACCUGCUGAUGUUGGGCGCUCGAAUUUGCAAAGUCUACCUCACUGGGAUGUCUGGGGAUGGCGCUCAAAGCAUCCAGCAUGAUGUACUCAUAGCUGGAGUUUUACGCAGGAUGGACUUGUGUGUUGGAAGACUGUAACACAGGCCGGCUCCAAUCAGAUGUCAGGCAAAGUUGGAGAGAGGGAUCUGGGCUUCUUAGGACGAGAGUGGAGACAUUUCUUUCUAUUUCUUCUUUUCAUGAGGUCUUGUCUCUUGCAGGGGUUUUCCUGAAACCAGGAGGUUUUGAUUCCCCCAAAACAAAUUCCAACUUCCUGGAAGUAAUGCUGUUUUGCAUCAUGGAAAAUAUGGUUCUGAAAGUGUUGGCCUAUUCUUGCUGAUGGUUCAGAGUGUACUAGCUGGAAUGCAGCUGACAGGACUAAAAGAAACUGAAGCAUGGAGAGCUCUGAAGUGAUCUGAGGCUGGAGGAAAACUACCUGAAUCGCUAGCUCUUCAGGAUGUUGCCACAUUACAGUGCAGCGCAAACACUGAUGUUAUAGGGAUGAUUCUAGACCAUCAAGAAAAGGGUAAAUUUUAUAUAAUGUACCUUCUGUAAGAAUGACUGGAAACAUAUAAUGUAUUUUAGAAGGUUUUUAUCAAAUUUAUUAAAAUAGAAUCAAUUUGAUACUACAGUGGGUAAGCAUCAGCUACCUGGAAAAUUGAUUUGUGUUGCACCCCUCAUUCCUGAGCUGGGUCAGUGAAAUGAGGUGUGGCUCUAUGAAAUACGAGGGACCGUGAAUGCAACAGCUUUGGAUAUUUAGCUACAGAAUGAACCUCAGCAAUCUUAGCUCAGUUUCCUGCGUCUUCCUGGAAGUAGAGAAUGUUCUGUAACCCAUGAAAUGAAUCACAUUAAAAGAAUGUGAUCCACAAAAUAGACUUCUAUUUUUAAAAAGAUCUGUUCUAUGUACGCAUCCACUAGUUGUACCUUUGCCAUAUAGGUAUAUACAUGUAACAAAGUUGUUAAUCAGGUACUUUAUUCUGUGCUGCUGUUAUCAAGGAAUAGAGAAUGGAACUGGUAGAUCGUGUGUUAUUUCCUUAGAGAAAACAUGCAUUUUACCUGUGAAGACAUAUCCACCACCAGCAAAGUAGAUGCUAUUAUAAAUUCAUGUUCUCCAUCCUAAAUUGGCUUUCCAACACCGGUUGGGGAAAAUAAAACCCAAAUCUUUUGUAUUUCUGUAAUCAUCUCACUGUCCUCAUCUUACAAAAUAAAUUAACCUCGGCUAUUUUUUUGUCCAUCUUUCCAGCCUCUCUGCUUUAGUGUUUUUCAGAGUCCUCCUUCCUUCUUACUUUGUGUAUUUCUAAAUGAUGACAUCUACUUUCAUACUGUUGAAAAUGUUCAGAAGGCAGUUUAAUGAAUUCAGUUAAGCAAGUGGCCACUGGAGUCAGAACCACUUCAGUUUAGAUAACUGUUCUGUUGUUUACCAGCUGGGAAAUCAGGGCAAGUUCCUUAAAUUCUCUACAUUUUUAUUUUCCUUCUAUGUAAAAUGGGCACAAAAGUGGCCCCCUUUAGGUACAUUAGGAUGUCCUAAGGUUUAAAUUAUAUAACCUAUAUAAAACUCUCAGUAUAGAGCCUAGCAAGUAGUAAGAG
ensembl:lncRNA